UACGUAGGGUCCAAGCGUUGUCCGGAAUCAUUGGGCGUAAAGCGCGCGUAGGUGGCCAUUUAAGUCCGCUGUGAAAGUCAGAGGCUCAACCUUUGAAAGCCGGUGGAUACUGGAUGGCUAGAGUACGGAAGAGGCGAGUGGAAUUCCUGGUGUAGCGGUGGAAUGCGCAGAUAUCAGGAGGAACACCAAUAGCGAAGGCAGCUCGCUGGGACGUUACUGACACUAAGGCGCGAAAGCGUGGGGAGCGAACAGG
rnacentral:rRNA from 1 species